AAAAAAGUGUUGCAACAAAUUACUUGUUCAUUCUUCUGCAUCUCAUACACCAAUACCCUUUCCUUUCUCCUAAAAAUGGCGACUGUCAUCCUCAAAAAAACCCUAAAUUCCUUAAACCCCAACUCCAUACUCCUCCGAUCCCUCUCUUCCACCGCCACCGCCACCGCCACCGCCACUGCCGGCCAACCUCAAUCCGAUACAACCUCCUCAUCCUUCACCUUUUCGUCCGACCAUAACAAUGACACCAACAACCCUAAUGGCGAUGAGAUAUACAUCAAAGCACGCAAGCCUGCACCUUCCACAUCAGUCACCAUGCCGAUGUCGUUCAUGACCGGAUCGGUAGUCGGUAAGAGGUUCUACAAGCAAGUGACAACAAGACCGGCUGAUGAUGGUGUCGGUUGGUCUGUUAUGCUUGAUUACCGGACGCUUAAAACCCCUUCCAAGAGGCCUCUUAAGUGCUCUACUUUGUCUCUUGCUAAAGCUAUUGCUGCUGAGUGGGAGUUUCAGCUUACAGAUGGAAUCCGGCCAUUUACAAUGCCUCUAAUGAAACUUGCAUGUACUGCUUUGGAGAGAGUUCCACUCACCAGGCCAAAAAUAAUUGAUAGUUUAAUGGCAAGGUUUAAUCAAGAUUUGGUCUUUUGCCGUGCCCCGGAUGAUAAUGUUUUGACAAGUGGCGUCCACGAGCUGCAAGUGAAGAAAAUCGAUCCUUUGCUCAAAUGGGUCGAGUCAGAGUUCGGUUUUAAGCCUGUUGUAUAUUCCAGCUUUUUCGGGGGGAAGCAGGAGGAUGGCCUUGUAAAGGCGGUUGAAAACGUUCUUAAGAAAACCAAUGAUAACGAACUGGCGGCUAUUGAUGCACUUGCUUCUGCGUCACACUCGUUGAUAAUUUCAAUUGCAAUAUUCCGCGGGAGACUACAAAUUCACGAAGCGAUUGAAUUGAUUAGACUUGAAGAAGAUAUGCAGGUGGAAAAGUGGGGUCUGGUAGAAGGCGGUCAUGAUCUUGAUGUUGCAGAUCUUAAAGUGCAAAUAUCAUCUGCUGCGGUUUUUCUUGGACUCACUAAACAGUUUUGAAGUGGUGUGUAAAAUUACCAUUUUGCCAUUGGCUCGGCUUUAUCAGUGCCGUUUUGCCAUUAUCAUUCUUUCGUAGGUGUUAAAGUUGAAACUAAGCGUCAGCUAAUAAGUGUCUCUCUAGCGGCGCAUCGGUUCUAUCUGCAUCAACACAAUGAAUAGGUUCUUGAUCGAAAACAUGAGUACAUCAAAAGUUUUGGUUUUAUUUUAGAAGUUUAUACCGUAGUUUAAGGUUCUUCAUCUUCACAACAUUGGGUGCAAAUUGGUGGUUGUUUCUUGAUGUCACAGUAGCAACAAGAGAUAUCACAGUUACUGCUGCAUCCUAUCAAAACCAGUUUUUUCA